UAGGGAAUCUUCCACAAUGGACGCAAGUCUGAUGGAGCAACGCCGCGUGAGUGAAGAAGGGUUUCGGCUCGUAAAGCUCUGUUGUUAAAGAAGAACAUAUCUGAGAGUAACUGUUCAGGUAUUGACGGUAUUUAACCAGAAGGCCACGGCUAACUACGUGCCAG
rnacentral:rRNA from 1 species